UCCCCAAGAUCAGAGGAGAAGCUGGCACCCGAUCGAGGUUUCCCAGGGAAAGCAUGGACAUGGCGGAGGACUGCGUGACCCGCGUGUGCGCGCUGGCCAUCGCCACCGCGGCUUGCGUCGGCCUCCCGGGCGCGCUCGUCUACGCGAUCGUCCGGACCGCGGCGGCGCGGCGCUUCGGCGCCACGUUCGCGCUCUCCGUCGUCCUCGUCUUCUGGGUCACCGUCAGCGCCGCCUACUACCCGCGCGUCUGCGCCGACGUCGUCCGGGGGUCCCCGCUGGUGCGGCGCGUGCGGGGCCGCCAGCGCGCGCCCCCCCGGCACCCGCGCGGUGGUGCCCUGUCGCAGCUGUCGUCUGCGGCGGCGGAAAGGCAGGGAGGUCGUGGCGGCAUGACCACGCUUCCGCGGGAGCAGUCGCCGCCGCCCGUUCGGGUCAUCGCUGAUGGCACCCUGGCGGCGUCGUACGAGCGGCAGCGGAACGGCGCCUUGGUGACGAGAAGACAAGGAGAAGGCCGUGAUGGCGGCAUGACAGCGGUUCCUCAGGAGCCACCAGCCGCGCGCGGUGGAGAGUGGGUCGUCGUCGCCGACGACGACGCCCUGCUGGAGUACGAGCGGCGCGCCGCGCGGGCGCCGCGGGCCCACGGCGAGACGUCCGAGCGCUGCGCGGUGUGCCUGUGCGACGUCGAGAAGCAUGGGGAGACGGCGACGUUUCUGCCGGCGUGCCUGCACGUGUUCCACCAGCACUGCAUCGACCAGUGGCUGCACCUGCACGGCCACCCGACGUGCCCGAUCUGCCGGAGCGACGCCUUCGUCGCGCCGCCGCUGCCGCCCCAAGGAGGCCAUGGCGGCAUGACCGCGCUUCCACGGGCUCUGCCGCCGCCGCCGCCGCCGCCGCCUCCGCCCGUUCGCGGUGGCGCGCGGGUGGUCGUCGGCACCCUGGUGGCGUCGUACGAGCGGCAGCGGAACGGCGCCUCGUUGGUGCCGCCGCCGUUCGUGGCCCGAGGUCGGCAAGAAGACCACCAUCGCGUCAUGACCGCGCUUCCCCGGGCUCCGCCACCGACGCCGCCGCCGCCUCCGCCCGUUCGCGGUGGCGCGCGGGUGGUCGUCGGCACCCUGGUGGCGUCGUACGAGCGGCAGCGGAACGGCGCCUCGUUGGUGCCGCCGCCGUUUGUGGCCCGAGGUCGGCAAGAAGACCGCCAUCGCGUCAUGACCGCGCUUCCCCGGGAGCCACCGGCCGCGCGGGUCGUCGCCGCCGAUGUCAUCCUAGCGUCGUCGUCGUACGAGGGGCGGCAGCCGGACGACGGCGAGACGUCCGAGCGCUGCGCGGUGUGCCUGUGCGACAUCGAGAAGCAUGGGGAGACGGCGACGUUUCUGCCGGCGUGCCUGCACGUGUUCCACCAGCACUGCAUCGACCAGUGGCUGCACCUGCACGGCCACUCGACGUGCCCGAUCUGCCGGAGCGACGCCUUCGCCGCCGCGCCGCCGCCGGAGCAAAUGGUGUGACGUUUUUCUAGUUUCCGAUCUGCUCUUGGCGUAGGCGCAGCGAGGGGCAAUUCUUGCUAGACGGACAGUGACUACUCCCUGCUCCGGUGGAUCUAAGAAGACUCUUAACAAUAGAUGCAAGGUGGAGGCAAACGGUGACUUACAAUAGGUGCAGCUUGGUGUUGUCAGUUUGGCUCAGGGCAGGGACAACAUAGCCUGCCUAUCUCUGCUGUAUAAAGCUACGAAAUCGAGCUCUCCUGAAGCCUGAAGAGACGAAUUAUGCCAUGACAGUGGGGCAUGCAGUAGGUAACCACUGAUCGAAGAAGAUGCCCAUGAUCCAUGGCAUGUCCUAUCGGACGUGGACACGUGUCGCCGCGCUGGAUGACGUCAUGAUAAGCCACAGGCCACAGCCAAAGCGUCCACAAGGAAAGUGCCCUCCAAAGCUUUGCUUAGCGCGUAGCACGUCCCCUCCGAUUACCUCGUUCAUGCAUCCACACGUAAGCAACGGCUGGCUGGUGCUUUCGUCGUUGUUUGUACGUACCACUGUCCAGUGUAUAGAAGCAAAGCAACCUUAUCGUUGUGCAUAUAUAAAGCAGGGUAAGUGCC